rnacentral:tRNA from 1 species
GUCACGAUCGGUAGGUUGAAACCCAGAUCAUGAUUCUGGAGCACGCUGGUUCGAGUCCAGCUCGUGACA